rnacentral:rRNA from 1 species
GACGAACGCUGGCGGCGUGCUUAACACAUGCAAGUCGAGCGGUAAGGCCCUUCGGGGUACACGAGCGGCGAACGGGUGAGUAACACGUGAGCAACCUGCCCCUGACUCUGGGAUAAGCGGUGGAAACGCCGUCUAAUACCGGAUACGACCCGCCACCUCAUGGUGGAGGGUGGAAAGUUUUAUCGGUCAGGGAUGGGCUCGCGGCCUAUCAGCUUGUUGGUGGGGUAACGGCCUACCAAGGCGAUUACGGGUAGCCGGCCUGAGAGGGCGACCGGCCACACUGGGACUGAGACACGGCCCAGACUCCUGCGGGGGGCAGCAGUGGGGAAUAUUGCACAAUGGGCGAAAGCCUGAUGCAGCGACGCCGCGUGGGGGAUGACGGCCUUCGGGUUGUAAACCUCUUUUACCACCAACGCAGGCUCCACGUUCUCGUGGGGUUGACGGUAGGUGGGGAAUAAGGACCGGCUAACUACGUGCCAGCCGCCGCCGUAAAAC